rnacentral:rRNA from 1 species
AGCAGCCGCGGUAAUUCCAGCUCCAAUAGCGUAUAUUAAAGUUGUUGCAGUUAAAAAGCUCGUAGUUGAAUUUCGGGGUUCUACCGGCGGUCGGGCUACCAAGUCUGUACUGGUGUGUAGAAUUUCUACCUUCUGGGGAACCAUCAUGUUAUUAAUUUAGCGUGGUGGGAAACCAGGACCUUUACCUUGAAAAAAUUAGAGUGUUCAAAGCAGGCUUACGUCUGAAUACAUUAGCAUGGAAUAAUAAAAUAGGACGGUGGUCCUGUUUUGUUGGUUUCUGAAUCACCGUAAUGAUUAAUAGGGAUAGUUGGGGGCAUUAGUAUUCAAUUGUCAGAGGUGAAAUUCUUGGAUUUAUUGAAGACUAACUUCUGCGAAAGCAUUUGCCAAGGAUGUUUUCAUUAAUCAAGAACGAAAGUUAGGGGAUCGAAGACGAUCAGAUACCGUCGUAGUCUUAACCAUAAACUAUGCCGACUAGGGGAUCGGGACGAUGUUAACCUUUAUUGACUCGUUCGGCGCCUUA